rnacentral:rRNA from 1 species
UGGGGAAUAUUGCACAAUGGGGGAAACCCUGAUGCAGCGACGCCGCGUGAGCGAAGAAGGUUUUCGAAUCGUAAAGCUCUGUCCUAUGAGAAGAUAAUGACGGUAUCAUAGGAGGAAGCCCCGGCUAAAUACGUGCCAGCAGCCGCGGUAAUACGUAUGGGGCGAGCGUUGUCCGGAAUUAUUGGGCGUAAAGGGUACGUAGGCGGCCCAGUAAGUUAGAAGUGAAAUAAUAUAGCUCAACUAUAUAAAGCUUUUAAAACUGCUAGGCUUGGGAGAUGGAAGGGAAAGUGGAAUUCCUAGUGUAGCGGUGAAAUGCGCAGAUAUUAGGAAGAAUACCGGUGGCGAAGGCGACUUUCUGGUCAUCAUCUGACGCUGAGGUACGAAAGCGUGGGUAGCAAACAGG